CCUUGUACACACCGCCCGUCACACCAUGGGAGUUGGUUCUACCCGAAGGCGCUGCGCUAACCCGCAAGGGAGGUAGGCGACCACGGUAGGGUCAGCGACUGGGGUGAAGUCGUAAACAAGGUACC
rnacentral:rRNA from 1 species